CUAGCCUCGAGGCCCGGGGCGGGGGCAGCGGCCGUCCGGCCCCGGGAUACCCCUCCCCUUAGCCCUCCGAGCUUCCCGGCAGGAGGGGGUUAACGGGAUCUGCGGGAUCCGCAGGAGCCAGCGAUUUCCCUGCUGGAAAAGCGAGGGGGAGCAGGAGAAGGGGGCGGGGAGGGGCUCGGUGGCCUCCGGUCCGCCGGCCCACCUGGGGCCCGCGAGGCCGGCCGGACGGACGGACGGUCGGCCGGACAGACGGCCGGCUGCUGCCGGGCUCCGCAGAGGCGAUGGGAGAGGGUCCCUCUCCCGGGCAAGCCCAAGGCAACGUCACAUCUCCUGAGGACACCGGGGCCGUCGGCCGCCCUCCUCCAACCGGCUCCGCACCUUCCCCUUCCCCCGCAGCGGCCCCAGGCUCCCCUCCACCCCCCACCCCGGCAUCCCGGCCCCAAGCCCGGGGCCACCGCCCCCCCCCCCCCCCCGGCCGGCCUCGCCCUCCGGAGCCGCGGGCUAACCUCUUUUCCACGAUGACUCACCAUUAUUUUUAA
rnacentral:lncRNA from 1 species